AUAAUCCGCCGCGUUACAGGUGCCGCCGAUGGGUUUUUCCACGGCGGUUAAACGGGAAAGCGGUGCAUCCCCCACAGGGACCAUUCCGCUGCUGCCCCCGCAACGGUAAGCAAGUGCGGGCGCGUCACUAGGCCACUGGGUUCAUCCCGGGAAGGCGACGCGUCAAGACUUGCGAGCCCGGAUACCGGCCUGCGACAUCACACGAAA
rnacentral:ncRNA from 1 species